AAAAGGCAAUGCCAAUGCUUCAUGUCAUCAGAAAUGCAACAAUGAUUGCACGGAAAAGACUAUUGCAUCAGUCAAGAACUAACUUCCCAUUGAUAAUUGACCAUGGAAUUAUUAAAGCAGAGAUCGGGAAAAUGAUCGGAUCAAGUAUAAAUUAUUUGAAUAAUUAGCAUUUCAACAAGGAAAAUCUAAAUUCCUUGACCCUCUUGUCGUCCAAUUUUAUUGCUUAUUUAUACAAAGGUUUUAUCCUUACAUAUCGUUGUGUGCUUCUUUCAUAAUUGUUGUCAACAACGAGAUCAAUAAAAUUCAUUUAGUUUAAGUGUUUAUUCA